AUGGCGGCUUACGGCGGCGAAGGAAAUCUCAGUAGUUUAAUAUUUAGCGUGAAAAGGCUUGGGUGUUGUGAUCUGGUUCUCAAGUAAAAAAAAAAUCACGGUCUGCAAUGGCCCUACCACCUUUUGAACAACAAGAAAACAUUGAAACGGUGGUAAAAAGCAGCAAGUUUCGAAGUCUAAACGAAAGAUGGGUGGUCAUUAUCCAUUACUUUUGGAAGUCGAUGCUGAUGAGAAAGAAAAAAUGUUUAUGAUUAUUUCUUCUCUCGAACAUUUUACUAUUUAGGUACCAAAUAAUCUUGAUACUGAAGACCAUUGCAUCCUAUUAUGAAAAAUUUACCCCUGAUUGCUUUGUCAACAUGUAUGAUGUAAUAUACCUUGAGAUUUGUGGGAUUUUCACAUGUAAACUAGAAAUACCUGUGGAGGGUAAUGAUGUACUUAAUGCAAAGUGUUUUGGUACAAAGUCUGCUUUGCUGUAAUCUACCUGAAGGUGCUUUUUAUAUGCUAGUAACACUUGCACAGCCCAGUCAAAAUGUUCUUUAGUAGUAGACAAGCUGGCUGUUGUAAUUAUAGGCAGCAGAGGCCAAACCUCAUCCUGAAAAGCAGUCUGAAAGGUGUGAAGUCAGUGGAAGAUACUUCAUCGUAGGUGGCCAAAUUGCAGGCUGUCAGCCCAUUUUGAGUGUUAAACAGGUCAAAGUACCGAAAAAAACCUCUGUGAUAACUUGGUAGUCUAAGAUGUAAAAAUUUUUAAUAAUAAGGUAAAGCUUGAUCAUUCUUAAGAGUUUGCAUCUGUUCUAAAAGUUUUGGGGAGAGUUAGGGGAGCAUUAUUUAUACAAAUGUAUUUAAAAAGUAACAAAAAAAUAAAAAGAACUAGGGCAAAAUCCCAAUUUGCUUUAAAAGUUUAUUUUAUUAAGAGCAUAAUUCUGGAUAUAGCUUGGGA